AGAACACGUUAUUUACUAGAAUCUUUCAGAAGAACAAAGUCAUCAUUGAUAACGAAUGACAUGUUACCGUAUAAAACCCGGUAUAUUUUUACAUCUGUCAUUUAAUAUAGUAGGAAUCAGCUAGAAGAAUAAUGGAGACAAUUAGAAUAUUAUAUUCAGUUCUUGUUAUUGUAUUGUUGAAUAUGAAUCUUGUGGUAACAAGUGAAGAACAAGCUGACAGUCCACAGCUUAGGGCUAAUAAUCCUGAUCUAGAGCUUCUCCUGUCUCUGAUACAAUCAGAAAUUAAUAACAAACCUCAAAUGUCAAUUCCAAGUGACCUGGUUCUCCCACAAAAGAAAUGGAGUCGUCCGCAGCACAGAAUAUCUCGUCAAUACUUGCUUCAACUUUUAAGAUCUCGAGGCUAUCAUGUUAGGCUGAAUGGAAAACGAUAAAACUAACAAUUAUUUGUGCGUUCCUUUGUAUUUAUUUUUGAUUGUUUAUGUAAUACAUUUGAUUUAUAAAAUAGUUUUAAAGAUUGCUGCAAUAUCGAAGAUUAUAUUUGUUUUAAUUUUAUUAUAAUUCUGUAAAAACGGACAUCUUAUCUGUGCAUGUGUGAGCAUUGAG